rnacentral:rRNA from 1 species
GAUGAACGCUGGCGGCGUGCCUAAUACAUGCAAGUCGAGCGAACAGACGAGGAGCUUGCUCCUCUGACGUUAGCGGCGGACGGGUGAGUAACACGUGGAUAACCUACCUAUAAGACUGGGAUAACUUCGGGAAACCGGAGCUAAUACCGGAUAAUAUAUUGAACCGCAUGGUUCAAUAGUGAAAGACGGUUUUGCUGUCACUUAUAGAUGGAUCCGCGCCGCAUUAGCUAGUUGGUAAGGUAACGGCUUACCAAGGCAACGAUGCGUAGCCGACCUGAGAGGGUGAUCGGCCACCCUGGAACUGAGACACGGUCCAGACUCCUACGGGAGGCAGCAGUAGGGAAUCCUCCGCGAUGGGCGAAAGCCUGACGGAGCAACGCCGCGUGAGUGAUGAAGGUCUUCGGAUCGUAAAACUCUGUUAUUAGGGAAGAACAAAUGUGUAAGUAACUAUGCACGUCUUGACGGUACCUAAUCAGAAAGCCACGGCUAACUACGUG